rnacentral:rRNA from 1 species
GACGGAGGGGGCAAGCGUUGUCCGGACUCACUGGGCGUAAAGGGUGCGUAGGCGGUUUGGAACGUUCGCGCUGAAAUCACACGGCUUAACCGUGUGGCGCGUGCGAAUACGACCAAGCUGGAGGCAUGGAGAGGAUGGGGGAACUCCUGGUGUAGUGGUGAAAUGCGUAGAGAUCAGGAAGAACACCCGUGGCGCAAGCGCCCAUCUGGCCAUGACCUGACGGCUGAGGCACGAAAGCGUGGGGAGCGAACC